rnacentral:rRNA from 1 species
AUUGAACGCUGGCGGCAGGCCUAACACAUGCAAGUCGAACGCGUCGCGGACGGGUGUGUAAUGUCUGGGACACUGCCUUAUGGAGGGGGAUAACUACUGGAAACGGUAGCUAAUACCGCAUACCAUCGGAUGUGCCCUGAUGGGAUUAGCUAGUAGGUGGGGUAACGGCUCACCUAGGCGACGAUCCCUAGCUGGUCUGAGAGGAUGACCAGCCACACUGGAACUGAGACACGGUCCAGACGCCUACGGGAGGCAGCAGUGGGGAAUAUUGCACAAUGGGCGCAAGCCUGAUGCAGCCAUGCCGCGUGUAUGAAGAAGGCCUUCGGGUUGUAAAGUACUUUCAGCGGGGAGGCGUUACCCGCAGAAGAAGCACCGGCUAACUCCGUGCCAGCAGCCGCGGUAAUAC